CCCACGCGAUUUAAAUUGCAGCCCAAACCGUGAACAGUUCUCAAGGCCUUAUUUUCACAUAGUCCGCCGAGCUUCUUGUAGACCAAAUGGUUCAUAAUGGACCACCAGCUCGCGGAUUGAUUCAUUAAAUUUUUGAAUUUAAUUUUAAAUCUAUUUUAAUUUUAUUUUUGAUCUCAUUUAAUUUUUUUAAGUCUGCAGAUCAGGUUUUUCAUGAUGGU
rnacentral:lncRNA from 1 species